rnacentral:tRNA from 1 species
AAGUGUGGUGCCUGAUUAAAGGAUAGUUUUGAUAGAACUAAUCAAGUAGGAGCCCUACCCACACU